rnacentral:rRNA from 1 species
AGCGAACGCUGGCGGCGUGCUUAACACAUGCAAGUCGAACGUGAAAUGUAGCAAUACAGAGUAAAGUGGCGUACGGGUGAGUAACACGUGGGUAAUCUACCAAAGAGCCUGGAAUAACCGACCGAAAGGUUGGCUAAUACUGGAUAGUUCAAAUGAACUAUAAUGUUUCGAUUGGGAAAGGGAGCGAGCAAUCGGCUUCACUUUUUGAUGAGCCCGCGUCUGAUUAGCUAGUUGGUAGGGUAAUGGCCUACCAAGGCGACGAUCAGUAGCCGGUCUGAGAGGAUGAUCAGCCACACUGGAACUGAAACACGGUCCAGACUCCUACGGGAGGCAGCAGUGGGGAAUCUUGCGCAAUGGACGAAAGUCUGACGCAGCCACGCCGCGUGAGUGAAGAAGGCCUUCGGGUUGUAAAGCUCUGUCGGAAGGGACAAAAACGUUUAAGGUUAAUAGCCUUAGAUCUUGAUGGUACCUUCAAAGGAAGCACCGGCUAACUUCGUGCCAGCCGCCGCCGUAA